GAGAGGGGGGAUCNGAUUUUCGGAUCGGCGCCGAAGGCGCCCAACCCUACUCGAUUUUUAUGAAAAACCNCUCUUUUUAUUAGGAUUACUGGCUAAAACCGUACAAGUAAGGUAGUUUGGUUGGGGCGACCGCCUUCGAAAAAGUAUCGAAGGCGUACAUAAGAUUAAUCCGGGGGGGGUGUCCUUUUUUCACCCCCAAACAAACCGGGGGUAAUGCCCCAAAAAAGAUUAGUUUGACUGAGAGGGCUACAACCCGAACAGGCGCUUGGGGAUCGUUAGGAUCCCUGGGCCCGGUUUAUACCAAGGGGCCUAAUUGACCAGCGGGCUCCUUUUUAUUCCCGGGUCGAACCUAGCGGGUCAUAGUGAUCCGUUGUUAUAUUGUGGGAUAGACAACGAUCAACGAAGA
rnacentral:rRNA from 1 species